GGGCUCCCGCCGGUUUCCAGCGGCCGGGAUGGGGCGGUGGAGCCCGGGAAGCAGCGGUGCCGAGCUGUGCCGUGUCCCGCUGCGGAGCGCCGGGAGCGGCCGAGCGCGGGGCCUCGGGGCGGCGCCUGAGGCGCUCCCAGCGCCCGGAGGCACCGGGCUGACGGAGCGGGCUCUCUGAGCUGAAAGGCAGCAGAGGAUUUUCUGGGACAGGAUAACAGACAGACUGAGGACACUGUCACCUUGGUGUGAGCAGAGCUGGCUAAGCAGAAUUGAGUGACUGUGGGAGCACUUGUUGAGCUUGGUGCUCAUGCUGAGGAUGUUCUUGCAUCUCUGAAAUACAACGAUACAGAGCCUGAAUGCCAGCUGCCAGAGUGGAUUCCACCAGCAUCCCCAGGGAAUGGCUGGUGUGAGCCCUUUUUGGUGAUGCAGCACUCCAGCAGAGCCCAGCAGCAACUGAGGAAAGGCACAAGAGCAGCAGAGCAGAGGUGGGCAGCCCCACAGCAAACUCUGUGAAUGAAUAAUUCACAGAGCCCUCUUUGCUGCCUUCACUAGUCAGGCUCUUUUUACAACAGGCUCUAUGCUGAGAUUCUUUUAACCAUUCUUUCCUCAUUUAAACCAUGUUACUUUUGUGACUUGAA